rnacentral:rRNA from 1 species
GACGAACGCUGGCGGCGUGCCUAAUACAUGCAAGUAGAACGCACAGUUUAUACCGUAGCUUGCUACACCAUAGACUGUGAGUUGCGAACGGGUGAGUAACGCGUAGGUAACCUGCCUGGUAGCGGGGGAUAACUAUUGGAAACGAUAGCUAAUACCGCAUAAUAUUGAUUAUUGCAUGAUAAUUGAUUGAAAGAUGCUAUUGCAUCACUACCAGAUGGACCUGCGUUGUAUUAGCUAGUAGGUGAGGUAGCGGCUCACCUAGGCGACGAUACAUAGCCGACCUGAGAGGGUGAUCGGCCACACUGGGACUGAGACACGGCCCAGACUCCUACGGGAGGCAGCAGUAGGGAAUCUUCGGCAAUGGACGAAAGUCUGACCGAGCAACGCCGCGUGAGUGAAGAAGGUUUUCGGAUCGUAAAGCUCUGUUGUAAGAGAAGAACGGGUGUGAGAGUGGAAAGUUCACACUGUGACGGUAUCUUACCAGAAAGGGACGGCUAACUACGUG